UCUUUUUUUUUUCUUCUCGAAACCAUCGUUAGUAUCGCAAAAUAUAAAACCUCUUUCACUUUCCCAAUCAAGAAAUUCUGCAUCUCUUUGAAUCCCGUAGAAGCUUCGUCAUUCAUUAUACUUCUUUUUUAGGGUUUUCAUUUUAGGAAUAUGUUUAAGGUUUCAUUUUUUAUUUGUUUUUCGCUCUUUAAGAAAAACAAAUCACACACACUCUCUGCAAGUAACAGCCAUGAGACCUCGAAUCAGAGGUUGGACUGGUCGAUUAUGAUUCUCAAGUUCCAAUUGGUGCUACUCCAGUUCCAGACUGGUUACUAAAUGCUGCAAAGGGAAACCUUGUUUUCUUACCAGUUCUGGCCUUUGCUUCUCAAGAAAAUGAAAAGGGUGGUAGAUAUCCCGAAUUGUUUAUGCAAAUGGGAUAAAGGAAUCUAGACUCAAGUCAUGUACAGCAAAUUUGCUACGGAUGGGAGUGACUAAACUAUUGUCUACGACGGGAAGGAGCAACUGAUUCUUGCAGCUAUCGGGAUGGUGGAUGCUAGUUCCAAACCUGGCGGAUACAUUGUUUACUCAACUUGCUCUAUAACGAUUCCAAAGAAUGAAGCGAUUAUGGAUUGUGCUCUCAAGAAGAGGGAUGAAAAAUUUGUGCCAUGUGGGCUAGAUUUUGGACGCCCUGCCCCUGGGUUUACUCGCUUUAUAAAGCACCGGUUUCACUCUUCAUUGGACAACACUAGGCGUUUUUACCCUCAUGUUCUAAACGUGGAUGGUUUUUUGAUGGCCAAGGAAUUGCUUAUGCAAAUGGGAUAAAAGAAUCUAGACUCAAGUCAUGUACUGCAAAUUUGCAACGGAUGGGAUUGACUUAACUAUUGUCUACGACAGGAAGGAGGUUAGUUUGGUUUUCCUUAUCAUUACUUACCACAAUUAAUUUAUUGAGGUAUCUGAUUAUUGAAUAUUAGUUACCAGAAUAGGAUUAUUGAGUUAAACAAGUCUAGUAGAUAUGGAACAUUGUGAAUCUAUGUUCAGACAUUCAAAAUGGCUUUCACGAAUGCACAUUUCCCAUACUACUUUGCAGGAUCCCACUUUAUGUGUUUUAGUGAUGGAAUAUAAAAAAUCUUUCUAUUCAGCCAGAGUAGUAUAAUUUUUCAGAUUAGUAGGUUCUUAUCCUGUAAAUAAGAUUAUAUAUCACAUAUAACUUCGUUGCAUAAGUCAUUUCUCAUGUUGAUGUUGGGACAUAAUAUGGUACAUGUCCACGAGGGGGAGGAGUAAGUUUGAUCUCAUUGAUGAUUUGCCCAAAUUAUUUCACUCUUCAUUGGACAACACUAGGCGUUUUAACCCUCAUGUUCUAAACGUGGAUGGUUUUUUCAUGGCUAAGAAGAACAAAUCACACACACACUACAAGUAGCAGCUAUGGAACCUUCAAUCAGAGGUUGGACUGAUCGCAUAUGAUUCUCAAAUUCCAAUUGUAGCGAAGUGCAAGCAGCAAGCUCCAUUUUACCUGUUAUGUCCCUUGCUCCUCAAGAUAAUGAAAGGGUGGUUGAUAUGGCGGCUACACCUGGUGGUAAAACAACCUAUAUUGCAGCUCUUAUGAAGAACUGUGGAAUUAUUUAUGCAAUGAGAUAAAGAAAUCUAGACUCAAGUCACUUACUGCAAAUUUGCAAUGGAUGGGAGUGAUUAACACUAUUCUCUAUAGCUACGGUGGGAAGGAGCUCCCUAAGGUUUUGGAGAUGAACACCGUUGAUCGAGUGUUAUUGGAUGCAACUUGCAGUGGGAGUGCAAUUAUUUGUAAAUAUGAAUCAGUUGAAGCAUCAAAAAUUCUGGAGGAUAUACAAGAUUGUGUGUUCUUGCAGAAGCAACUGAUCUUUGCAACCAUUGAUAUGGUGGAUGCUGGUUUCAAAUCUGGCACAUAUAUACUUAACUCAACCACUCCAUAGAAUGAAGCGAUUAUAGAUUAUGCUCUCAAGAAGAGGGAUAUACAACUCCUGCCAUGUGGGGCUAGAUUUUGGACGCCCUGGGGAUUUAUCGCUUUAGAGACCACCGAUUUCACCCCUUAUUGGACAAGACUAGGCAUUAGUGUCCGCAUUCUACAGAUGUAGAGACAGCGACAAUGAAUGUAAAUUUGGAGACCAGUAGCUCCGGGCUAUAAUCUCUAGUUAAACUCUAGUUAUGCUGGGUCCAAGAGCAUAGCUCAGUGGUAUCCCAUCAACUCCAGUAAGGAGGAAGUCAGGGGUUCGAUCCCCACCGUGGUAGAGGUUGGAAGUUGGAGCAGAGAGGAGGAGAAGAAGUCCCUGACAAGGCUCGGAGACGACGGAGACAUUGACCCUGGAGUAGGUUCAAGACCUAAAACUUUUGGUCUCUUUCCUAGUGGUUCUUUGAAUAGCAAAACUAACAGUGGGUCUACUCGCUUAGACAUUGAUGUGUAAGGUGAUCAGAGACUAAACUAGCUAAUUUCAGAAUGAAUUGUUACUCCUUUUAGAGUCUCGUAGUAGUUUUUCAGAAUGAAUUGUUACACCUUUUAGAGUCUCCUAGUAGUUUUUCUAUAGGUCUUAAAUCUGGUAAUUUUUCUAGACACAAAACAGAAGAAUCAUCAAAGGGCUAUUCAACCAAUCUAUUGUAUUUGUAAUUAACCCCGACUUCUUUUAUUGUACGUCUGAAAAAUACAUGUGCGGUACUGCAGUUCCUGUA